CCCCGCCCCCCGCGGCCAGCCGCGGCUGCCUGGAGCCCCCCGGCCAGCGGCCGGCCGCUGGGGCCGAGUAUUGUCUCAAAGGCCGAAAAGACAGGAAAGCGGGGACACUGGGGGACAGCCACGUGACCAGGAGAGGAUUUAUAAUAUUUUCCUUCGCUGUCGACAAUAUUGCAAAAUGUACGAAAGGGACCGCACGGCCGCGACCGGAGCGUGACGGCGCGGGCAAGACAGGUUCCCGGAGCGCCCGCGCUGUGCCCGCCGGAGCCCGGGUCUCUCCAGCUCGCCGGGGCGGAAUCCGAGGGCAGAGGCCGGCUUACCGACACGACACGCGCCGAGGGGACCCAAACCCGGUCCGGUCCGAGCCCGCAGCCCGGCUCCUUCUCUCCUUCCACUUCCGCCUCACGUUUCCCCCCUACCGGAAAUCUGAUGGGCUUAUGACA
rnacentral:lncRNA from 1 species